UCCUAUGUGCUGACUCAGCUGCCAUCAGUGACUGUGACCCUGAGGCAGCCGGCCCGCAUCACCUGUGGUGGAGACAGCAUUGGAAGUAGAAAUGUUGACUGGUACCAGCAGAAGCCGGGCCAGGCACCCGUGCUGAUUAUCUAUAGAGAUAGCAACAGGCCGACAGGGAUCCCUGAGCGAAUCUCUGGCUCCAACUCGGGGAACACGGCCACCCUGUCCAUCAACGGGGCCCUGGCCAAGGACGAGGCUGACUAUUACUGCCAGGUAUGGGACAGCAGUGGCCACUACCCUGUGCUCAGAGGGGGGUCUGUAACUACUCUCCUAGGAAAACCAGAAGCUUCCCCGAUUUCCACCCUGGCUUCUAUCAGAGGGAUACCUUCAUAUCUGGAAGAGAAAAUCAUUUUCCCUACUCACAAAAACAGCUGA